GCAAGAUGGAAUAGUCUUAAGCUUUGAGCAACUUCGCAAGCUCAAUUCUUCAAGCCCGAUGAAAUAGUGAAAGGAUGAAGGUAGUUCUUUUAUUGCUAUUUUGUCUAAUAUGAGUACUUCUAGAUUUUCCAUAGUCACCUCGAGUUCAGGAAAAGUUUCAAGUGAUUCACAUUCACUAAGGUCUAACUUGAUGAGUUUGCUAAGAUUUCCAAUGGAAGAUGGAAUAGUCUCAAGCUUUGUGCAAUUUCGCAAGCUCAAUUCUUCAAGCCCGGCCAAAUGGUGGAAGGAUGAAGGUAUUUUUUUUAUUGUUGUUUUAUCUAAGAUGAGCACUUCUAGAUUUUCCAUAGUCACCUCGAGUUCAGGAAAAGUUUCAAGUGAUUCACAGUUAGUAAGGUCUAACUUGAUGAGUUUGCUUAGGUUUCCAAUGGAAGAUGGAAUGGUCUUAAGCUUUGUGCAAUUUCGCAAACUCAAUUCUUCAAGCCCAACCAAAUGGUGAAAGGAUGAAGUUAGUUCUUUUAUUGUUGUUUCGUCUAAGAUGAGGACUUCUAGAUUUUCCAUAGUCACCUCGAGUUCAGGAAAAGUUUCAAGUGAUUCACAGUCACUAAGGUCUAACUUGACGAGGUUGCUAAGAUUUCCAAUGGAAGAUGGAAUAAUCUUAAGCUUUGUGCAACUUCGCAAGUUCAAUUCUUCAAGCCCGGCCAAAUGGUGGAAGGAUGAAGGAAGUUCUUUUAUUGCUGUUUUGUCUAAGAUGAGCACUUCAAGAUUUUCCAUAGUCACCUUGAGUUCAGGAAAAGUUUCAAGUGAUUCACAGUCAGUAAGGUCUAACUUGAUGAGUUUGCUGAGAUUUCCAAUUGAAGACGGAAUAUUCUUAAGCUUUGUGCAACUUCGCAAGCUCAAUUCUUCAAGGCCGACCAAAUGGUGCAAGGAUGAAGGUAGUUCUUUUAUGGUUGUUUCUUCUAAGAUGAGCACUUCUAGAUUUUCCAUAAUUACCUCAAGUUCAGGAAAAGUUUCAAGUGAUUCACAGCAAGUAAGGUCUAACUUGAUGAGUUUGCUGAGAUUUCCAAUGGAAGAUGGAAUAGUCUUAAGCUUUGUGCAACUUCGUAAGCUUAAUUCUUCGAGUCCGACCAAAUGGUGCAAGGAUGAAGGC
rnacentral:lncRNA from 1 species